rnacentral:rRNA from 1 species
UACGAAGGGGGCUAGCGUUGCUCGGAAUCACUGGGCGUAAAGCGCACGUAGGCGGAUUCUUAAGUCAGGGGUGAAAUCCUGGAGCUCAACUCCAGAACUGCAUUUGAUACUGGGAAUCUCGAGUCCGGGAGAGGUGAGUGGAACUGCGAGUGUAGAGGUGAAAUUCGUAGAUAUUCGCAAGAACACCAGUGGCGAAGGCGGCUCACUGGCCCGGUACUGACGCUGAGGUGCGAAAGCGUGGGGAGCAAACAGG